GACGAACCGUGCGAACGUUGUUCGGAAUCACUGGGCUUAAAGGGCGCGUAGGCGGCUUUGCAAGUGACGGGUGAAAGCCCUCGGCUUAACCGAGGAACUGCCUGUCAGACUGUAAGGCUUGAGACCGGGAGAGGUGAGUGGAAUUCCCAGUGUAGCGGUGAAAUGCGUAGAUAUCGGGAGGAACACCGGUGGCGAAGGCGGCGACCUGGGUAGAUACUGACGCUGAGGCGCGAAAGCGUGGGGAGCAAACAGG
rnacentral:rRNA from 1 species